GAUUUUUGCUGGCGGCCUAUUUAACACAGCCGCCAGCGAAAAUGAAUUUUGUUGGCGGCUGGUGUAAGACGACCGCCAACAAAGAUCCAUUUUUGCUGGCAGCUGGUUUAAGACGACCGCUAGUGAAAAUG
rnacentral:miRNA from 1 species